rnacentral:ribozyme from 1 species
UCUAUACCUCUUUCUUUUCCUUCUCUCUUUUUCGCUUUCCAUCCAUCGAUCCAUUCUUGAAUGAACGAUCUCUUGGCAUAUGAUGAUAAGCAAUCGAGAAAUUGUCUAGGCGCCGCACAUAAAAAAAAAGAAAAAAAA